GCAUACUUAGAUGGAUAGUUUAGAAUUUAUUUCUAUUCCUAAAUUUUAAGUAUGAUGUUGUGUUUGCAUAUUGGUCUAGGAAACUAGACUAGAGUAACGAAAGUUACUUGUUUCACUUCCUGUAUAUUUUGAACCGUAUUGGUUUAUAACCGCCCACUUUGGGCGGUUUUUUUCU
rnacentral:other from 1 species